UACAGAGGGGGCAAGCGUUGUUCGGAAUUACUGGGCGUAAAGGGCGCGUAGGCGGCCUGCUAAGUCGAACGUGAAAUCCCCGGGCUCAACCCGGGAACUGCGUCCGAUACUGGCAGGCUUGAAUCCGGGAGAGGGAUGUGGAAUUCCAGGUGUAGCGGUGAAAUGCGUAGAUAUCUGGAGGAAUACCGGUGGCGAAGGCGGCAUCCUGGACCAUUACUGACGCUGAAUCGCGAAAGCUAGGGGAGCAAACGGG
rnacentral:rRNA from 1 species